rnacentral:rRNA from 1 species
CGCUGGCGGCGUGCCUAAUACAUGCAAGUCGAACGGUCUUUCUAUGGAAGCUUGCUUCCACUGAGAAGAUAGUGGCGAACGGGUGAGUAACACGUGGGUAACCUGCCCAUAAGAGGGGGAUAACAUCCGGAAACGGGUGCUAAUACCGCAUAGUUUUCUUGAUCGCAUGAUUGAGAAAGGAAAGACGGCCUUUGUGCUGUCGCUUAUGGAUGGACCCGCGGCGUAUUAGUUAGUUGGUGAGGUAACGGCUCACCAAGACGAUGAUACGUAGCCGACCUGAGAGGGUGAUCGGCCACAUUGGGACUGAGACACGGCCCAAACUCCUACGGGAGGCAGCAGUAGGGAAUCUUCCGCAAUGGACGAAAGUCUGACGGAGCAACGCCGCGUGAGUGAAGAAAGGGUUUUCGGAUCGUAAAACUCUGUUGUCAGAGAAGAACAAGUUGGAGAGUAACUGCUCCAGCCUUGACGGUAUCUGACCAGAAAGCCACGGCUAACUACGUGCCAGCCGCCGC